UCAAGCUACUAAGAGCACAUGGUGGAUGCCUUGGCACCAGAGGCCGAUGAAGGGCGCGGCAGAGCUGCGAUAAGUCCCGGGGAGCUGCGGCGCAAGCUGUUAUCCGGGAAUUCCCGAAUGGGGCAACCCGGCCAGGGUCAUGCCUGGUCACCCAUCGCUGAAUCAAAUAGGCGGUGUGGAGGGUACGCAGGGAACUGAAACAUCUAAGUACCUGCAGGAAGAGAUAUUCCCCUAGUAGUGGCGAGCGAAAAGGGAAAAGCCUAAACCGAAGCGGCGUGAUAGACGGCAGUCGUUUCCGCUUCGGGGUCGUGGGACCCACCUGUUCCUGCUGCCGCGGGGACAAGGAGUAAAAAAACCGACGUCUAGCCGAACGGCAUUGAAUGGCCGGCGAUACAGGGUGGCAGCCCCGUAGGCGAAAGGCGAGCGGUCUCCUGGAGGGGAUCCCAAGUACCACCGAACACGUGGAAUUCGGUGGGAAUCAGCGCGGACCAUCGCGUAAGGCUAAAUACCUCUGGUGACCGAUAGUGAACGAGUACCGUGAGGGAAAGGUGAAAAGUACCCCGGAAGGGGAGUGAAAGAGUACCUGAAACCGUGUGCUUACAAACCGUGAGAGCACUAUGCCUGCUUGCAGGAAUGUGUGAUUGCGUGCCUUUUGUAGAAUGAUCCGGCGAGUUACUUCAGUGUGGCGAGGUUAAGGGGUUGACACCCGGAGCCGCAGCGAAAGCGAGUCUGAAUAGGGCGUUAUGUAGUCGCACUGAGUAGACCCGAAACCGAGUGACCUACCCAUGGUCAGGGUGAAGCGCGGGUAAGACCGCGUGGAGGCCCGAACCGACCCCGGUUGAAAACGCGGCGGAUGAACUGUGGGUAGCGGUGAAAUGCCAAUCGAACUCGGAAAUAGCUGGUUCUCCUCGAAAUGCAUUUAGGUGCAGCGUCGUCGAUUUGUUUGUCGCAGGUAGAGCACUGAAUGGGCUAGGGGCGAUCACCUCGUUACCAAACCCAACCAAACUCCGAAUGGCGGCAAAUUUUACGGCGGCAGUGAGACUGUGGGGGCUAAGCUUCAUAGUCGAAAGGGAAACAGCCCAGACCGCCGGCUAAGGUCCCAAAUCCCAGGCUAAGUGGCAAAGGAUGUCACGUUGCCCAGACAACCAGGAUGUUGGCUUAGAAGCAGCCAUCAUUUAAAGAAAGCGUAAUAGCUCACUGGUCGAGUGGUGUGGCGCCGACAAUGAUCGGGGCUCAAGUCUGGAACCGAAGCCGCGGAUGUCAUAGCUUCGGCUGUGGCGUGGUAGAGGAGCGUUCCACGGGCAGUGAAGGUCGAGCGUGAGCACGGCUGGAGCGCGUGGAAGUGCGAAUGCCGGAACAAGUAGCGAGAAACGUGUGAGAAACACGUUCGCCGUAAGCCUAAGGUUUCCUGGGCUACGUUAAUCGUCCCAGGGUCAGUCGGGCCUAAGCCGAGGCCGAAAGGCGUAGGCGAUGGACAGCUGGUCAACAUUCCAGCACCACUGGCGAGUACCGAUGGGGUGACAGGGAAGGGUAGACACAGCGGGGCGUUGGUUGUCCCCGUGCAAACAGGUAGGGGGUCUAGUAGGAAAAUCCGCUAGACACAUACCCCGAGAGGAUGCCGAGCCCGCAAGGGCGUAGUGGUUGAUCCCAAGCUCUCAAGAAAAACCUCUAAGGGUUGAUCCGCCAGUGUCCGUACCGCAAACCGACACAGGUAGGCAGGAAGAGGAUUCUAAGGCGAUCGAGAGAACCGUGGUUAAGGAACUCGGCAAAUUGUCCCCGUAACUUCGGGAGAAGGGGAGCCUCUGCAGGUGAAGGGCGUACGCCUGGAGCCAGUGGGGGCCGCAGAGAAAUGGCCCAAGCGACUGUUUACUAAAAACACAGGUCCCUGCCAAAGCGCAAGCUGAUGUAUAGGGGCUGACGCCUGCCCGGUGCUGGAAGGUUAAGAGGAAGGGUGAGAGCCUUGAAUUGAAGCCCCAGUAAACGGCGGCCGUAACUAUAACGGUCCUAAGGUAGCGAAAUUCCUUGUCGGGUAAGUUCCGACCCGCACGAAUGGCGUAACGACUUGGGCGCUGUCUCGACCACGGACUCGGCGAAACUGAAGUACCUGUGAAGAUGCAGGUUACGCGCGGCAGGACGGAAAGACCCCGUGGAGCUUUACUGCAACUUGGCGUUGAUGUGGGGUCUAGCAUGUAGAGGAUAGCUGGGAGACUUUGAAGCGGGGCCGCUAGGUU
rnacentral:rRNA from 1 species